UACGUAGGGGGCUAGCGUUGUCCGGAAUCAUUGGGCGUAAAGCGCGUGUAGGCGGUCCGGUAAGUCCGCUGUGAAAGUCGGGGGCUCAACCCUCGGAUGCCGGUGGAGUACUGUCGGGCUUGAGUACGGAAGAGGCGAGUGGAAUUCCGUGGUGUAGCGGUGAAAUGCGCAGAGUAUCAAGGAGGAACACCAAUUGCGAAGGCAGCUCGCUGGACGUUACUGACGCUGAGACGCGAAGCGUGGGAGCAACAGAU
rnacentral:rRNA from 1 species